rfam:TPA: Bos taurus chromosome 10, whole genome shotgun sequence.
UCCCUGGUAGCUCAGCUGGUAAAGAAUCCACCUGCCAUGUGGGAGACCUGGGUUUGAUCCCUAAGUUGGGGAA